UUUAGUAUUGGUGAUCGUGUUGCUACCAAAUAUAGAAAUUCUAUCCAUCAUGAAAAUGUUCAAACUCUUGUCACUACCAGAAUUUGGUUGCAUGGAUUUACUCAACCUAAUGAGGGUAAUAUUUUUCUAUCUAAUCUAUUAAUAUAUCACUCUUUUUCUGAAAGUAUUUGUUAAUGAUUAUCUAACUAACAUCUUGUAUGGUGAAUUGUAGAUGAAGAUGAACUUCUUAAGGAAACAAUAUCACAUGCUGAUUCAAAUGUGAUCGAUGGUACAAGUGGAAGCGGAGUCGUGAAACUUUAAUUAAUGGGUCAUGUAAUAUUUAGCAAUUUAGAUUUGUUAAGUAUUUGGGCUGCCUUGUGUCGCUGGAAAUCUUUUAAACCAGCUAGUUUUUUGUGGGAGGAAUGGUGGAAUGAUCAACAUUUAUCCGCUAAAUCUUACGUUGGCUAUUAUGUAUUUUUGUAAGUAUUCAC
rnacentral:lncRNA from 1 species